rnacentral:lncRNA from 1 species
GUCGUCGAACUCCUGCAAUAAAGACUUAACCAAACUAGGGAGGGAUGUAUUAGAAUCCUCGAAAUUGAGGAGGGAUUCCUUGUACACUAACAAUAUCAUUUGCUACUAUCGCUCAUAGCCUUUUUCAACUCACUCUCUUUUGCAUAGAAGUUGACCUUUAGCUUUUCUCUCCGCUCAACUGACUCUUUUUUUCUCCUCUCAACUAACUCUUUUUCUCUCCGCUCAUGUGGCUUCUCUCUCUCUUCUCCACUUUCAGCCACCCCACUAUUUUCUCUCUUAUUGAUGGUUUCACUAUCGCCUCUCCUUUUUCCUGACUCUCUUAUUCUCUCGUCUUCCCACUUUUCAGCUUGAUUUGAUCUCCAUACACUUGUGCCGGUGUCAAUGGCACAAGAGUAAUAGUCUUCCCAUCCUUGACAAAGCUAUAAUGAUUCCUAUAUCCAUCAUGUGUGACCCUUCUAUCAUAUUGUCAUGGUCUUCCUAACAAGAUAUGACCCACAUGCAUAGGCACCACAUCACAUACUACUUUGUCACUAUAACUCCCAAUUGAGAAAUUAAUUAAAACUCUUUUAUUUACCCUAACUUUCCCACUUUCAUUCAACCAUUGCAACUUAUAAGGUUUAGGGUGUCUUAACAAUGCUAGUCCAUAUUUCUCAACUAAAGUUGUGCUAGCUACAUUCGUGCAACUCCCAUCAUCAAUAAUCAUACUACAUACCUUAUCGUUGACGUAACAACGUGUGUAGAAUAUAUUUUCUCGCUGCUGCUCCGAAUCAUCCACUUCGACUUGAGUGUUAAGAGCUCUCCUUAACACCAACGAUUCCCCAACAAGAAACUCCAAUUUUUCUUCUUCUUCAACGUCUUCCAAUGCAGGCAUGUCCUCAAACUCUCCUUCACUUUCACUCACACUCACCACCUCUCCAUUAUCCAAAAAAACUAUUACUCGUUUAUUUGGGCAUUGAGAAGCAUGUGCCCUGACCCCAAGCAUCUGAAACACUUGAUGUCUCGAUUCCUUGAUGGUUGUGAAUCUGUUUUGGGUGCUGUUUUGCUAGCAUUUUCUUCUUUCCCUGUUUGCCACUCAUUCCUACUUUUAGGUACAGCUUUAUCACCUUUGUUGUUGUUGUUGUUCUACCCUGACUUCCAAGAUGGAUUAACACUCGAAAUUCCUGAUGGUUGCCUAGCUGCCCCUUUCAUCUUCAGUUGUGUCUCUACCUUCAUAACCACAUGCAACAUGUCUUCCAACUCCACAUAAUGUUGCAACUCCACUACAUUGACAAUUUUCUUAUUCAACCCAUUCAAGAAUCGUGCCAUGGUAGCCUCCCGAUCCUCUACCACAUUGGCCCUAAUCAUGAGUAUUUCCAUCUCCUUAUGAUAGUCCUCUACACUUUUCGACCCUUGAUAUAGACCUUGCAGUUUUUUAUGGAUCUCUCAAUAAUAGUGGCUAGGAACAAACCUCUUUCUCAUCAACGACUUCAAUUCCUCCUAAGUGCUGAUUGGUCUUCCCCCACUCCAACGUUGUGAAGUAAUCACUUGAUUCCACCAUGAAAUUGCAUAGUCACUGAACUCCAAAACUGUUAACUUCACAUUUUUCUCCUCCGAGUAGUUAUAACACUCGAAAAUCAUUUCAACCUUCCUUUCCCACUCCAGGUAUGCGUCGGGAUCACUCCUUCCUUUGAAUGAAGGAACUGUCAUUUUUACAUUUCCCAAGUUUCCAUCUAACUCCUCCCCACAAUCAUUCCGACCCCGUCUGUCGAACCUAUUGCCUCUAUUCCUCAUCUUUCCCGUCUCAACACCGUGAAAUUCAUAUUCGCCCAUGUCACUCCCAUAUCCACACUCCUCUCGUCUUUCCCUCCUAGGCUCCCAUCUAUCCGAUCCUCUGACAUUGGAUACAUCUACUCGAUGCCCCCGACUAAGAUUAGCCACUGAUGUAUCUAAUUUAUUCAUCCAAGCCUCCAGCUUCUCCAACCUAUCUCUCACAUCUCCAAACACCCUCUCAAACCUUUGCACUAAAUCCUCCGAUGCAUUGCUAUUAUUGCCUUGUCGGUUUGAGUUUGACUCUGCCCUUUCUGACAUCUUAACAUUAAAAUUUUAUUUUACUGUCUCACCAAAAGUCACUCGGAACACACACAAGGGCUUUUAAGCUCUAUUAAGCUCACCUAUCUGCCUUUUACCACUCAGUUCUUUCAACAAUUGCUUCUAGGAACAAUCAAUGAACUCAAUCAAUCAAUCAAUUUGUGUAGAAUUUUCCAAACCGGAUGUGACUCAAUAAUUGUAACAAAGGACUCAAAGAAAACUUUUAAAACUUGAUUUGAAUUGAAGGAAUGGAAUGAUUCAAUGUGUCCAAGUAAUUUAGAAACGAUAAUGAAUAAUAAAAAUUGGUAUUUGACGGAUCAAUAAUAUUUAACAAUUUUUUUUACUGUACGGAUGAACAGUACCAUACGGAUGAACAGUAAUUUUUUU